rnacentral:misc_RNA from 1 species
GUUUGAAGGGACAUCAUGGCGUAGAUAAUUAUCACACCAAGGAUCCAAACAUACAAAGACCCAAGCUAAUACUUUUAAGAGGAGCUGACUUUCGCCAGCAAAAAGCCUCCAAGUCCAAACUUCAAAAAGUGUUGUUGUUAACAAAACUUUUGAGUUUGAGAGAUUCAUGACACUCAAACAGGCAUGCUCCUCGGAAUACCAAGGAGCGCAAGAUGCGUUCAAAGAUUCGAUGAUUCACUGAAUUCUGCAAUUCACAUUACUUAUCGCAUUUCGCUGCGUUCUUCAUCGAUGCGAGAGCCAAGAGAUCCGUUGUUGAAAGUUGUUUAUAAAUGCGUUUUUUUUUUAUUUCGCAAAUAAUAACAUUCUAGACAUAUAAGAGUAUAUGUAAAAAUACGUAGAGUCAGGAAUGAAGUGCGUGUUUGACCACACUCAACAAAACCCAAAACUACAAUAUGUGCACAGGUGUGAAGGAUGGAUUGGAAUCAAGGCGAGCACAAAUACUCCCGAAAGAGCCAGCUUCAAACCUCGAAUACAAAUUCCAGUAAUGAUCCUUCCGCAGGUUCACCUACGGAAACCUUGUUACGAC